rnacentral:lncRNA from 1 species
CGUCAACCACUGGUCUCAUCUCCUCAAUAGCCGCCACUACCAAAUCCAUGGCUUCUCCUAUCUCAAAACCUUCUCAAACCCUAACUUUACCCACUUCCUUCUUGGGUCAACGUAAGCCCCUUCAAUCUCGCGCCCCUCGAUCCAUCUCAUUGAAUCGUGGUUCUCAUUCGAGGAAAAGCUUCGUUGCCAAGGCCAGUGUAAGUCAUGUUUUUCAGAUUAAUUGAUUGAUUCGACGACCAUUAUGCUUAAUGAUAAUUUCAUUUAGCAAUGGGACUCUGUAAUGGCGUUUCGCCUCUGUGCUUUUUGUUCUGUAUCGUCGUGUAGGGUGACCUUCCACUUGUUGGAAAUACAGCACCAGAUUUCGAGGCAGAGGCUGUUUUUGAUCAAGAGUUCAUUAAGGUAUGUUUAACGUACCAAUGUCGCCAUUAGUUGUUGCUACAAUUGUCAACCUUUUUUCUGGUGUUAAGAAAUAUGACAAUUUGUUCGGAUAGAAUGUUUUGAAUGUGAAGAAAUCUGGGCUUUAAAUGCUUAAUCAAAUGCUGCUUUAAAUAUCAAAAUUUUCAUAGUUAAUCAUAGGGAAAUUGCCUCUCGGGGCUCAUAGGGUGUUGUAGGAGCUGACAGUACUUGCAAAAGGCUGAAUAAUGGGACUGUGUGAACUCUGCACUCAUGGCUGGGUGAUGUGUUUUGAGUAUUUUAUAAGUUAUCAGCUGAGGGGUCUAUAAUUUUCCAAGCUAAACUGAAUUUUUCAUGAGAAGGUGGAUUAUGUUCUUUUUCCUUGUGGUUGUCAUACUAUGUUGUGUAUUUUAUUCUGUUUUUGAUUGGU